AAACAAAGAGAGCUAUCCGUCGACAGUCAAGCUUCUCAAUUUAAUACUGUCAUGGAAUUGCUCUCUUUGUAUAA
rnacentral:pre_miRNA from 12 species